rnacentral:tRNA from 1 species
CGGGCCAUGGGGUAGUGGUAGCCCGAGUCCUUGGGGUGGAUUUAGCGGCGGUUCGAUUCCGCCUGGCCCGA